GAUGAACGCUAGCGAUAGGCUUAACACAUGCAAGUCGAGGGGCAGCAUGGUCUUAGCUUGCUAAGACUGAUGGCGACCGGCGCACGGGUGCGUAACGCGUAUGCAACUUGCCUCACAGAGGGGGAUAACCCGUCGAAAGACGGACUAAUACCGCGUACACUUGGGAUAGGGCAUCCUGACCCAAGGAAAUGAAAUUCGCUGUGAGAUAGGCAUGCGUCCCAUUAGCUAGUUGGUGAGGUAACGGCUCACCAAGGCGACGAUGGGUAGGGGAACUGAGAGGUUGAGCCCCCACACUGGUACUGAGACACGGACCAGACUCCUACGGGAGGCAGCAGUGAGGAAUAUUGGUCAAUGGGCGAGAGCCUGAACCAGCCAAGUCGCGUGAAGGAUGACUGUCUUAUGGAUUGUAAACUUCUUUUAUACGGGAAUAACAAGAGCCACGUGUGGCUCCCUGCAUGUACCGUAUGAAUAAGCAUCGGCUAACUCCGUG
rnacentral:rRNA from 1 species